rnacentral:rRNA from 1 species
CGGGAAAAGCUCAAAUUUAAAAUCUGGCGGUUCUUGUAGCCGUCCGAGUUGUAAUUUAGAGAAGCGUUAUCCGCGCUGGACCGUGUACAAGUCUCCUGGAAUGGAGCGUCAUAGAGGGUGAGAAUCCCGUCUUUGACACGGACUACCAGGGCAUUGUGAUGCGCUCUCAAA